rnacentral:rRNA from 1 species
UCAAGCUACAAAGGGCGCAUGGUGAAUGCCUUGGCAUCAGGAGCCGAUGAAGGACGUGAUAAGCUGCGAUAAGCUUCGGGUAGGUGCACAUAACCAGAGAUCCGAAGAUUUCCGAAUGAGGAAACUCACAUGGGAAACCCCAUGUAUUGUAUAGUGAAUACAUAGCUAUAUGAGGGUAAACCUAGGGAACUGAAACAUCUAAGUACCUAGAGGAAGAGAAAGAAACAUCGAUUUUCUUAGUAGCGGCGAGCGAAAAGGAAAGAGCCCAAACCAGAGAUUUAUCUCUGGGGUUGCGGACAGAACAUAACAUGAGGAUAUCUUAAUUGAACCUAACUGGAAAGUUAGACCAUAGAAGGUAAUAGUCCUGUAAGUGAAAAGAGAAACUCAUAGUUCUGCUCCAGAGUACCACGAGACACGUGAAACCUUGUGGGAAGCAGGGAGGACCACCUCCCAAGGCUAAAUACUACCUGAUGACCGAUAGUGAAGCAGUACCGUGAGGGAAAGGUGAAAAGAACCCCGGGAGGGGAGUGAAAGAGAACCUGAAACCGUAUGUCUACAAGCAGUCGGAGCGAAAGCGACGGCGUGCCUAUUGAAGAAUGAACCAACGAGUUACGUGCACUAGCGAGGUUAAGUGGAAGACACGGAGCCGAAGCGAAAGCGAGUCUUAAGAGGGCGAAUAGUUAGUGUACGUAGACCCGAAACCGCAGUGAUCUACCCAUGUCCAGGUUGAAGCGCAGGUAAAAUUGCGUGGAGGACCGAACCUGUGAGCGUUGAAAAGCUUUAGGAUGAGAUGUGGGUAGAGGUGAAAUUCCAAUCGAACGCGGAGAUAGCUGGUUCUCCCCGAAAUAGCUUUAGGGCUAGCCUCAAGUAGUAAGUAUAGGCGGUAGAGCACUGAUCGGGCUAGGGGCCAUAAAGGUUACCGAACCCUGUCAAACUCCGAAUGGUUAUACUGUAGAGCUUGGGAGUCAGACUACGAGUGAUAAGAUCCGUGGUCAAAAGGGAAACAGCCCAGACCACCAGCUAAGGUCCCCAAUGUCGUACUAAGUGGAAAAGGAUGUGGGGUCUCUAAAACAACCAGGAUGUUGGCUUAGAAGCAGCCACCAUUUAAAGAGUGCGUAAUAGCUCACUGGUCGAGAGACCCUGCGCCGAAGAUUACCGGGGCUAAAGUACGAAACCGAAGCUGUGGCUACGACAUAUGUCGUGGGGUAGGGGAGCGUUCUGUGAGGGCUGAAGUCGUUCUGUAAGGAACGGUGGACUUCACAGAAGUGAGAAUGUUGGUAUGAGUAGCGAAAAGAAUGGUGAGAAUCCAUUCCACCGAAAGCAUAAGGAUUCCUGGGCAACGAUCGUCGUCCCAGGGUAAGUCGGGACCUAAUCCGAGGCAUGGAGCGUAGGAGAUGGACAACUGGCAGAUAUUCCAGUACCGGUAAUGAUUGUUUGAGCGAUGGAGUGACACAGGAGGGCAGGCAGGCAGGAGAUUGGUUGUUCCUGUACAAGCGUGUAGGAUGGGACGUAGGCAAAUCCGCGUCCUGUGAGUCUGAGGCGUGAUGUGGAGGUUCCGGAAACGGAACUGAAGCUGCUGACCCCACACUGUCGAGAAAAGCUUCUAGUUAGAGAAUUACCGCCCGUACCGUAAACCGACACAGGUAUGCGGGGAGAGAAUCCUAAGGUGCGCGGGAGAACCCUCGUUAAGGAACUCGGCAAAAUGUACCCGUAACUUCGGGAUAAGGGUAGCCGCUGUUGUGAAGUCUGAACAGACGGAGCAUGAGGCGGUCGCAGAGAAGAGGCCCAAGCGACUGUUUACCACAAACACAGGUGCCUGCUAAAGAGAAAUCUGACGUAUAGGUGCUGACACCUGCCCAGUGCCGGAAGGUUAAGGAAGGAUGUCCGGAGCAAUCCAAAGCAUUCGACCGAAGCCCCGGUGAACGGCGGCCGUAACUAUAACGGUCCUAAGGUAGCGAAAUUCCUUGUC